rnacentral:rRNA from 1 species
CUUGCACCGGGGUGGAUGAGUGGCGAACGGGUGAGUAACACGUGAGUAACCUGCCCCCGACUUCGGGAUAAGCCCGGGAAACUGGGUCUAAUACCGGAUAUGACGACCGAAGGCAUCUUUGGUUGUGGAAAGUUUUUUCGGUUGGGGAUGGGCUCGCGGCCUAUCAGUUUGUUGGUGAGGUAAUGGCUCACCAAGACGACGACGGGUAGCCGGCCUGAGAGGGCGACCGGCCACACUGGGACUGAGACACGGCCCAGACUCCUACGGGAGGCAGCAGUGGGGAAUAUUGCACAAUGGGGGAAACCCUGAUGCAGCGACGCAGCGUGCGGGAUGACGGCCUUCGGGUUGUAAACCGCUUUCAGCAGGGAAGAAGCCCUUCGGGGUGACGGUACCUGCAGAAGAAGUACCGGCUAACUACGUGCCAGCAGCCGCGGUAAUACGUAGGGUACAAGCGUUGUCCGGAAUUAUUGGGCGUAAAGAGCUCGUAGGUGGUUGGUCACGUCUGCUGUGGAAACGCAACGCUUAACGUUGCGCGUGCAGUGGGUACGGGCUGACUAGAGUGCAGUAGGGGAGUCUGGAAUUCCUGGUGUAGCGGUGAAAUGCGCAGAUAUCAGGAGGAACACCGGUGGCG